rnacentral:rRNA from 2 species
UACGGAGGGAGCUAGCGUUGUUCGGAAUUACUGGGCGUAAAGCGCGCGUAGGCGGUCCAUCAAGUCAGAGGUGAAAGCCCGGGGCUCAACCCCGGAACUGCCUUUGAAACUGGCGGACUAGAAUCUUGGAGAGGUCAGUGGAAUUCCGAGUGUAGAGGUGAAAUUCGUAGAUAUUCGGAAGAACACCAGUGGCGAAGGCGACUGACUGGACAAGUAUUGACGCUGAGGUGCGAAAGCGUGGGGAGCAAACAGG